rnacentral:rRNA from 1 species
GACCAAGGAGUCUAACCCGUAUGCGAGUCGUGGGGUCUUGCGUAGGCCCGGUGGCGUAGCGAAAGCAAAGUCGAGACAUGAGGAGUUACUAUGAAAUGUCUGUUCCUUGUAGCAUCGGCGGCCCGGCGGUGCGGCCGGCUGGCACGGUUACCGUUCGGUCGUUAAAAGCCGAACGGYUYGAGUCGUGCCCGGCUCGUCGGAGUCUGAGCAUACGAGUUGGUACCCGAAAGAUGGUGAACUAUGCCCGGCCAGGGCGAAGUCGGAGGAAACUCCGGUGGAGGCCCGAAGCGGUUCUGACGUGCAAAUCGAUCGUCGGAGCGAGGUAUAGGGGCGAAAGACUAAUCGAACCAUCUAGUAGCUGGUUCCCUCCGAAGUUUCCCUCAGGAUAGCUGGCAUUCGUGAAACUCAGUCUCUCCUCGUAGAGAGAAUGAAUAGAGGCCCUGGGGCCCUAGACGACCUCAACCUAUUAUCAAACUGCUACGAGGUGCGUCGG